UACAUUAUAAAUAAAUUGGUCGAUUUACAAACUUUUAAUUUGUUUCUAUACUACAUGCAAAUGAGGAUAAAUAUGACUGCAAUUAUAAAGUUUGUUUAUGUGAUGACCAUUUUUCUUUCAUUAUUUCAUGUUGUAACCAGCUCUGAUGAUGACCCAGUUAUGGUAAUUCGUUAUUGCGAGGCUGAUUCUAACUGUCCAAAUAAAUAUUGUCCCCCUUUUGAAGUUCCCAAGUGUCUUGGUAACAUUUGUCGCUGCGAUGACAAAAAACUAGGCGGGACAUUCCAUUAAUACACAUACAACUUUUGUAUUAUAUAUAUAUUGUCCAAACACAAAUAAAAUGAUGUAAAACAUAUUACAUUGGCAUCUAUUUAUCUAUAUCUCUACGUAUGAAUCUGUAUAAGCAAAGUUUAGAUUGCUUCAACACCUCCAUUGCUUCUAUGCAAUAAUAAUGUACUAAAUUUUGAGUUACAAAACUUCUCAUAUAUUUUUGUGUCAAGAAAAAAAAACUUCUCAUAUAUUUUCUU